rnacentral:tRNA from 1 species
GUGGUGCAAGUGGUUAGCACACUUGGUUGUUAACCAAAAGGCUGGAGGUUCGAGUCCACUC